CUAAGCCGGCCAGCAGUGAGCUCCCACAUCUCAUUUUUCACUUUGUUCUCUGUUGUACCUGAACUUCAACAAAAUGAGCUACAGAAGAUCCAACUUUCAGCAGAUACCUUCUGCCCACAUCUCCUUGACUCGCUCCACACCCCAGUACCGUGCUGCCAGCAUUUAUGGCGGUGCUGGUGGACAUGGUGCCCGCAUCUCCUCUGUCUCAACAUCUUCCCUGCGCUCUGGUGCCCCAAUGUCCUCCUCCUCAUCUGCCUUCAAGCUGAGCAGUGGAAUGGGUGGUGGAAUGGGAGCAGGUUUUGGAGGUGCCGGUGCAUCCAUGGCAAGUGGCAAUGCCGGUGGUGGGAUCACGGGCAAUGAGAAGGGAGCCAUGCAGAACCUGAACGACCGUUUGUCCAACUACAUUCAAACUGUGAGGAGCCUGGAGCAGACCAACAAGGAGCUGGAGAUGAAGAUCAGGGAGGCCCUGGAGAAGGGGGGGCCUGACAUGAGAGACUACAGCAAGUAUGAGAUCAUCAUAGAUGACCUACGCAAACAGAUCUUUGACAAGAUAGCGGAACAUGCUCGGUUUGUGCUCCAGAUUGACAAUGCCCGUCUGGCUGCGGACGACUUCAAAGUGAAGUUUGAGAAUGAGCUGACAAUCCGCCAGUCUGUGGAGGCCGACAUCGCCGGGCUGAAGAAAGUCAUCGAUGACACCAACAUGAGCAGGAUGAACAUCGAGAGUGAGAUUGAAGCUGUGAAGGAAGAGCUGGUGUUCCUAAAGAAGAACCAUGAGAAUGAGGUGAUGGAGCUGAGGAGUCAGAUUUCCCACUCAGGCGUGCAAGUGGAUGUUGACGCUCCCAAAGGUCAAGACUUGGCUCAGAUCAUGGAUGACGUGAGGGUCAACUAUGAGAAGAUUGCUGUGAAGAAUGCAGAAGAACUCAAACGGUGGCAUGAAAAUCAGACGGCAGAUGUACAGGCGCAGGUAUCACAGAACACAGAAGCUCUCCAGGGGGCCCAGAUGGAUAAGAGUGACUUAACCAGACAGAUACAGACCCUGGAAAUUGAACUUGCAUCCCAACAGAGCUUAAAAGCCUCUUUAGAAGACACACUACACAACACAGAGCAGCGUAACAAUAUGGAAAUGGAGAAGUACAACGAUGUCAUUAUCCGCCUGGAGGAGGAGCUCACACACUUGCGUGCAAACAUCCAGCAACAGACCCAGGAGUAUGAGGCGUUGCUCAAUCUAAAGAUGAAACUGGAGGCAGAGAUUGGCACCUACAGGACACUGUUGGAUGGUGGAGACUUCAAGUAAGAGUUAUAAAGCGAUGGAGGAGAAAAAAAAGAUCAAGGCAAGGUGAUGGUGGUGGUGGAGGUUCCAGGAUGCACUGGAUGAGCUAGAGACCCUGGGCUAAUUUGGAACAAUGGAUCUGGGAACAUCACAACAAUGGAAGCAGAGCAACCCACAACAGUCCGUAAUGGACAAGAAGUCUCACUGGUCCAGUCCACUAAAGGCAUUUAUUUUAACCAUGACCACUUAAGUUGCACCACAUAAAUGAUUUAAGCAAUUCAGAAUGAAGGCAUUCAACCAAACUUCAGUGAAACUGGCAGGGAUAUUUUGAUACGAACCAUUCCCUGUCCUGGCAGCAAAAUAAAAGUGAAUAAAACCAUUUGUUGACCCACA